rnacentral:rRNA from 1 species
ACGCAAUAGAUACCCAGGUAGUCCACGCCCUAAACGAUGUCUACUAGUUGUCGGGUCUUAAUUGACUUGGUAAACGCAGCUAAACGCGUGAAGUAGACCGCCUGGGGAGUACGGUCGCAAGAUUAAAACUCAAAGGAAUUGACGGGGACCCGCACAAGCGGUGGAUGAUGUGGAUUAAAUUCGAUGCAACGCGAAAAACCUUACCUACCCUUGACAUGGAUGGAAUCCCUGAGAGAUUGGGGAGUGCCCGAAAGGGAACCAUUACACAGGUGCUGCAUGGCUGUCGUCAGCUCGUGUCGUGAGAUGUUGGGUUAAGUCCCGCAACGAGCGCAACCCUUGUCAUUAGUUGCUACGAAAGGGCACUCUAAUGAGACUGCCGGUGACAAACCGGAGGAAGGUGGGGAUGACGUCAAGUCCUCAUGGCCCUUAUGGUAGGGCUUCACACGUCAUACAAUGGUACAUACAGAGGGCCGCCAACCCGCGAGGGGGUAGCUAAUCCCAGAAAGUGUAUCGUAGUCCGGAUUGUAGUCUGCAACUCGACUGC